AAAAAACAAGAAAUCAAAAAAACAAAAAAAAGGAAGGCGAGUCCAACAUCGUCUUCGGAGACAGAAACAGCUACUGACAGUGACACUUCUACCUCUGAGUCUGAGACUCAACAAGACUCGGAGGAUUCAGCAAGAAAGGGGGAAAAAAUGGACUCCAGAAAAAGAAAGCAGAGGCAAGAGGAGCCAGAUUCUGAUUCAGAAUCUGAAUAUGAACAAAGUGAUGAGAGUGAAGAAUCAUCACCUGCAGAGAAGGAGAAGGAGAAGAAAAAAACAAAAACAACACCAAAAAAAACACAACCAAAAAAGAAAAAAGUUCUCGUGGAGGAUUCAC